rnacentral:rRNA from 1 species
UGGGGGAUAUUGCACAAUGGGCGAAAGCCUGAUGCCGCGACGCCGCGUGGGGGAUGAAGGCCUUCGGGUUGUAAACUUCUUUUGCUAUGAACAAGGCAUGCUAAUGGGUGUGUUGAGUGUAGGGGUUGAUUAGCGCCGGCUAACUACGUGCCAGCAGCCGCGGUAAUACGUAGGGCGCGAGCGUUGUCCGGAAUUAUUGGGCGUAAAGGGCUUGUAGGUGGCUGGUUGCGUCUGUCGUGAAAGCUCAUGGCUUAACUGUGAGUUUGCGGUGGUACGGGCUGGCUUGAGUGCAGUAGGGGAGGCUGGAAUUCCUGGUGUAGCGGUGUAAUGCGCAGAUAUCAGGAGGAAUACCGGUGGCGAAGGCGGAUCUCUGGGCUGUUACUGACACUGAGGGGCGAAAGCAUGGGGAGCGAACAGG